GAAAAGAAAAAGAACUCAUUAAGGUGCAUUUGAAUUUGAUAAGUCAAAAAAAGUGAUUGGAGUGCCUCGAUCUACUCAAAAAAGUGAUACUAGUCCGUUUGAAUCUAGAAAAGCAAAAAAAAGUGUUUGAAGUGGCUCAAGGUGCUAAGGAAACUGAAACUAGUCUGUUUGAAUUUGACAAGGCUAAAAAAG